AGAGGAAAACCUCUAACGUCUCUUUUUCUUUUCUAUUCAACAGAUCACAUUCCUUGUUAUCCUUCCAAUAUUGUUUACAUCUGUAAAGGCUGUUUUUGUGCAAUCGGCCAACUAAUAAGAUCGGGUAUCGUCGUCGAACCAAUUCGAGUGACUUGGAGUCGACGAUCGAGAUUCGCCGUGAUACCCGCGAUUAAUCAUCAGGGGGCUCCCUGAUAUACACGCUUAAAGGUUGCUGGCGAAAGGGGAAGAGAAACGGUAGCCGACUCCGGCCAACCGACCUUCCGUACCGCGGCGCCAUUUUUUUGCGCCAUCCGUUAUAAUUGCCGGGGCCUUGUCACUUUUGCGGGCUUUCGCAGUGAGGUACCUGAUGUGUACGUUGCCCCGUGCCGGCUUUCUUGCGCGGCGGCUUCGUCAAAGCGACCAGGAGAGGGAAGGGAUGCACAAUGAGCGGAGGACGGAGGACCAGAAACGAGGUGAACAAUGCCGACUGUCGUCGCAAUUGCGAGGCUUCCUCUCGUCUCGUUUCGAAGGAAAUGCCGACGCACAUACUUGCCCCUCGCUGAAUUACACCGGUAUCGGCUCCUGGUUACCAACGUACAGAAGCAUCGGGCCAAUCUAUCGACGGAGGGGGGCAAGAGAUGAAAGACGAAGCGUAAGAGAUAAAGUGGGCUCGUGAAACGUUGUUACGAAACAACGUGGGCAGCGCCGGUAGAAAAUGGCGUGGGCCGUGACUGUCCGAGACCAGGUGAAACAUGUUUGUACAAGAUAUGAACUGAUAAGCCAUCACCGAGGCUCAACGAAAGGGUUCAAGCAUGCUGAUCACCGUUGCUUGAAGUCGAUCGGGAAAAAUGAGAUGCGCAAAAAGAUUUGUAAUUUUCUUGAAAAUCUGACGUCUCUUGGCU